GAUGAACGCUGACAGAAUGCUUAACACAUGCAAGUCUACUUGAUCCUUCGGGUGAAGGUGGCGGACGGGUGAGUAACGCGUAAAGAACUUGCCUUACAGACUGGGACAACAUUUGGAAACGAAUGCUAAUACCGGAUAUUAUGACUGAGUCGCAUGAUUUGGUUAUGAAAGCUAUAUGCGCUGUGAGAGAGCUUUGCGUCCCAUUAGUUAGUUGGUGAGGUAACGGCUCACCAAGACGAUGAUGGGUAGCCGGCCUGAGAGGGUGAACGGCCACAAGGGGACUGAGACACGGCCCUUACUCCUACGGGAGGCAGCAGUGGGGAAUAUUGGACAAUGGACCAAAAGUCUGAUCCAGCAAUUCUGUGUGCACGAUG
rnacentral:rRNA from 1 species